CCUACGGGUGACAGCAGUAGGGAAUAUUGCUCAAUGGGGGAAACCCUGAAGCAGCAACGCCGCGUGGAGGAUGAAGGUUUUCGGAUUGUAAAGCCCUUUUGUCAGAGAAGAUAAUGACGGUAUCUAACGAAUAAGCCCCGGCUAACUCCGUGCCAGCAGCCGCGGUAAUACGGAGGGUGCAAGCGUUACUCGGAAUCACUGGGCGGAAAGGGCGCGUAGGCGGGAUAGCAAGUCAGAUGUGAAAUCCUAUGGCUUAACCAUAGAACUGCAUUUGAAACUGUUAUGCUAGAGUGUGGGAGAGGUAGGUGGAAUUCUUGGUGUAGGGGUAAAAUCCGUAGAGAUCAAGAGGAAUACUCAUUGCGAAGGCGACCUGCUAGAACAUAACUGACGCUGAUGCGCGAAAGCGUGGGGAGCAAACAGGAUUAGAUACCCGAGUAGUC
rnacentral:rRNA from 1 species